GAGAGUAUAGCUCAGUGGUAGAGCACAUGCUUAGCAUGCACGAGGUCCUGGGUUCAAUCCCCAGUACCUCCA
rnacentral:tRNA from 1 species